UACGGAGGGUGCAAGCGUUAAUCGGAAUUACUGGGCGUAAAGCGUGCGCAGGCGGUUUGUUAAGUCUGUUGUGAAAUCCCCGAGCUCAACUUGGGAAUUGCAAUGGAUACUGGCAGGCUAGAGUGCGGUAGAGGAUGGCGGAAUUCCCGGUGUAGCAGUGAAAUGCGUAGAGAUCGGGAGGAACAUCUGUGGCGAAGGCGGCCAUCUGGACCAGCACUGACACUGAGGCACGAAAGCGUGGGGAGCAAACAGG
rnacentral:rRNA from 1 species